GACGCAGCGACGCCGCGUGGGUGACGAAGGCCUUCGGGUUGUAAAGCCCUGUGGGGUAGAACGAACUGGCAUCGGGCUAAUAUCCCCGGUGUCUUGACGGUACUGCCUUAGCAAGCAUCGGCUAACUCUGUGCCAGCAGCCGCGGUAAGACAGAGGAUGCGAACGUUGCUCGGAUUUACUGGGCGUAAAGCGCGUGUAGGCGGUCUCGUUAGUCGGGUGUGAAAGCCCCGGGCUCAACCCGGGGAAGUGCACCCGAUACUGCGAGACUGGGGUACUGAAGAGGAGAGCGGAAUUCCCGGUGUAGAGGUGAAAUUCGUAGAUAUCGGGAGGAACACCAGUGGCGAAGGCGGCUCUCUGGGCAGAUACCGACGCUGAGACGCGAAAGCGUGGGGAGCAAACAGGAUUAGAUACCCUGGUAGUCCACGCUGUAAACGAUGACGACUGGGUGUUGCAGGUAUUGACCCCUGCGGUGACCGAAGCCAACGCGUUAAGUCGUCCGCCUGGGAAGUACGGCCGCAAGGCUAAAACUCAAAGGAAUUGACGGGGG
rnacentral:rRNA from 1 species